rnacentral:misc_RNA from 1 species
AUGUUUAAAUUUCCACAAAAAGAUUGGGUUUUUUUUCAUACAGAAGCAAAAUUGUUACGUGGGGUUCAUUCAGAUUAACCCAUGGCUCCUCCUUCUUCAACAACUGUUACAAAUCAACUACAAACCCUAAACCCAACUAUAAUCCCUGGUCUACCAAACGAUUUAGCAGCGAUUAUACUUGUAUUCGUUCCUUACUCUCAUCAUUCACGUCUUAAAUCCAUUUGUAAAUCAUGGAAGCAAUUUUUCUCUUCCAAA